rnacentral:rRNA from 1 species
UGCGUAGGCGGAAUAGUAAGUCAGUGGUGAAAUCCUGCGGCUCAACCGUAGAACUGCCAUUGAUACUGCUAAUCUUGAGUAUAGUUGAGGUGGGCGGAAUGUGUAAUGUAGCGGUGAAAUGCAUAGAUAUUACACAGAACACCGAUUGCGAAGGCAGCUCACUAAGCUAUUACUGACGCUAAGGCACGAAAGCGUGGGGAGCGAACAGGAUUAGAUACCCUGGUAGUCC